rnacentral:rRNA from 1 species
AUUUGGUCGUAGACCCGAAACCAGGUGAUCUACCCUUGGUCAGGUUGAAGUUCAGGUAACACUGAAUGGAGGACCGAACCGACUUACGUUGAAAAGUGAGCGGAUGAACUGAGGGUAGCGGAGAAAUUCCAAUCGAACCUGGAGAUAGCUGGUUCUCUCCGAAAUAGCUUUAGGGCUAGCCUCAAGUGAUGAUUAUUGGAGGUAGAGCACUGUUUGGACGAGGGGCCCCUCUCGGGUUACCGAAUUCAGACAAACUCCGAAUGCCAAUUAAUUUAACUUGGGAGUCAGAACAUGGGUGAUAAGGUCCGUGUUCGAAAGGGAAACAGCCCAGACCACCAGCUAAGGUCCCAAAAUAUAUGUUAAGUGGAAAAGGAUGUGGCGUUGCCCAGACAACUAGGAUGUUGGCUUAGAAGCAGCCAUCAUUUAAAGAGUGCGUAAUAGCUCACUAGUCGAGUGACACUGCGCCGAAAAUGUACCGGGGCUAAACAUAUUACCGAAGCUGUGGAUUGUCCUUUGGACAAUGGUAGGAGAGCGUUCUAAGGGCGUUGAAGCAUGAUCGUAAGGAC